AGUGAACGCUGGCGGUAGGCCUAACACAUGCAAGUCGAACGGCAGCACAGUAAGAGCUUGCUCUUACGGGUGGCGAGUGGCGGACGGGUGAGGAAUACAUCGGAAUCUACUUUUUCGUGGGGGAUAACGUAGGGAAACUUACGCUAUUACCGCAUACGACCUACGGGUGAAAGCAGGGGAUCUUCGGACCUUGCGCGAUUGAAUGAGCCGAUGUCGGAUUAGCUAGUUGGCGGGGUAAAGGCCCACCAAGGCGACGAUCCGUAGCUGGUCUGAGAGGAUGAUCAGCCACACUGGAACUGAGACACGGUCCAGACUCCUACGGGAGGCAGCAGUGGGGAAUAUUGGACAAUGGGCGCAAGCCUGAUACAGCCAUACCGCGUGGGUGAAGAAGGCCUUCGGGUUGUAAAGCCCUUUUGUUGGGAAAGAAAAGCAGCAGGUUAAUACCCCGCUGUUCUGACGGUACCCAAAGAAUAAGCACCGGCUAACUUCGUG
rnacentral:rRNA from 1 species